UGGGAUUCAAAGGGUGGGCCGGAAGUGCUCUAGCCAGGGGACUCUGGCCUUACGGAGGAUCCCUGUUUCCUCCUUUUUUUUUUUUUUAAACCCUUUUCACCUAAUAAAACCCUGCUUUUCUCACCCUUUAAACUGUCUGUGAGCCUAAAUUUUCAUGGCCGUGGGACAGAAAAGAACCCCAUCUUUGCUAAACCAAGGAAAAAUCCUGCAACAUUUUUGGCACGCAGCGUGGGGCCUGGAGAGGAGGUUAACAUCAGAUUUGUCUUUUGAAAGAGCAUCUCUCAACCUAGUGUGUCUGGAAUUGGUGGGUUCUUGGUCUUGCUGACUUCAAGAAUGAAGCCGCGGACUCUCGCAAUCUGAGAUUUGAGAUCUCAUACCACAAAUGCCUUAAUGUGGCUGGCAUUCAUGAGAAGGUAUGCAACUAUUGAUGAAAUAUGAAGAACUCAGAAUGUCAAGAGAGAAGAGGCGUGGAACAGUUCUGGGAACACAGCACUGAUAAAACUCUUAUGGAUGAAUUUACCUAUACCUGUGUUUCAGCCUUGUGAUCUGAUUCCACAGGAUGCGAGCAUAUGCAGUGGAAACAUUGUGUUAUUCCAUCCUCAGAAGAAAAGAGACAGUAUUAUACUUCAUCUCUUGCUAAUACAGAACUACCACAGAAACAUACCAGGAAAGCUGAGAGAAUCCACAGAUCCUUUGAAGGAAGUGGCUUGCUGUUGCAGGCUCCUUGAGACAGCCAAAAACUGAUGAAGAACUAAAAACAGCAUAGCCUGAGGCAAGAAGUGAGCAUCCUCACACUCCAUCCUCAUUAGUGAGGAUAAAUGUGUCAUCACUGGGCAGCCCAGUAAG